CAAUAGCGUAUAUUAAAGUUGUUGCGGUUAAAAAGUUCGUAGUUGGAUUUCUGCCAAGGACGACCGGUCCGCCCUCUGGGUGAGUAUCUGGCUUGGCCUGGGCAUCUUCUUGGAGAACGUUGCUGCACUUCGCUGUGUGGCGCGGUAUCCAGGACCUUUACUUUGAGGAAAUUAGAGUGUUUCAAGCAGGCUUUCGCCUUGAAUACAUUAGCAUGGAAUAAUAAGAUAGGACCUCGGUUCUAUUUUGUUGGUUUCUAGAGCUGAGGUAAUGAUUGAUAGGGAUAGUUGGGGGCAUUCGUAUUUAACUGUCAGAGGUGAAACUCUUGGAUUUGUUAAAGACGGACUACUGCGAAAGCAUUUGCCAAGGAUGUUUUCAUUG
rnacentral:rRNA from 1 species